GUGGGGAAUAUUGGACAAUGGGCGAAAGCCUGAUCCAGCCAUGCCGCGUGUGUGAAGAAGGUCUUCGGAUUGUAAAGCACUUUAAGUUGGGAGGAAGGGUAGUAACCUAAUACGUUGCUACUUUGACGUUACCGACAGAAUAAGCACCGGCUAACUUCGUGCCAGCAGCCGCGGUAAUACGAAGGGUGCAAGCGUUAAUCGGAAUUACUGGGCGUAAAGCGCGCGUAGGUGGUUCAGUAAGUUGGAAGUGAAAUCCCCGGGCUCAACCUGGGAACUGCUUUCAAAACUGCUGAGCUAGAGUACGGUAGAGGGUGGUGGAAUUUCCUGUGUAGCGGUGAAAUGCGUAGAUAUAGGAAGGAACACCAGUGGCGAAGGCGACUACCUGGACUGAUACUGACACUGAGGUGCGAAAGCGUGGGGAGCAAACAGGAUUAGAAACCCGAGUAGUCC
rnacentral:rRNA from 1 species